rnacentral:rRNA from 1 species
AUUGAACGCUGGCGGCAUGCUUUACACAUGCAAGUCGAACGGCAGCGCUGGCUUCGGCCUGGCGGCGAGUGUCGAACGGGUGAGUAAUACAUCUGAACGUGCCCCCUAGGGGGGGAUAGCUCGGCCAAAGCCGGAUUAAUACCGCAUACGACCUGAGGGUGAAAGCGGGGGAUCUUCUGACCUCUCUCUAUUUUAGCGGCCGAUUGCAGAUUAGCUAGUUGGUGGGGUAAAGGCCUACCAAGGCGACGAUCUGUAGCUGGUCUGAGAGGACGACCAGCCACCUUGGGACUGAGACGCGGACCAGACGACUGCGGGAGGCAGCAGUGGGGAAUGUUGGGCAAUGGGCGAAAGCAUGAUACAGCAAUGCAGAGUGUGUGAUGAAGGCCUUCGGGUUGUAAAGAACUUUUGGCGGGAAUGAAAAGGACUGUGCAAAUAACAAGGUUAGAAGACGGUACCCGCAGAAUAAGCACCGGCUAACUACGUG